GGGAGGCCGGGAGGGCGCGCGCGGCGGCUGCAGGAGGACGUGAGGCCCGUGAGGUCCGUGAGGCGGCGGCCGGGCGGCCGGGCGGGACGGGGGAAGCGUGAGGUUGAUUGCAGCGAUGUGGUGUCUCACAGACGCACAAAAGGGGCUAAUAGUAACAGCUCUGUGCUUUUGUGGAUGUUCUGAUUAACAAGACCUGCUGGGACAGAACAAGAGGAGGAGUGACAAAGCACGUGAACACAAGAACAAAAUAGGUCUUCAUCCUCUUAUUUAGCCAUUCUCCUUCACAAAAGGUAGUUAACCUUUUCAACUACACUGGGUAAUCAACGUGGAGUUCAUAAUAUUGACUCUUGGGGCUGACAGAAGUCCCCAGUCUUUAACACUAAAGCAAAGAUACUAACAGUUCAGCUGUAACUGUUUUCCCUGGGGAUGUUUCACCCCCCACCAUCUCCACACUUGGCUCUACUCUUGGGAAUCCUCCCCUCUCAGCCCUUAUCAUUCAUCUUCUCCGAGUGGCUGUUUAAAGCCUGCCUUUAUGGCCAGCAUCAAGUUGGGAAAUCCACUGGUGGUUUCUCCUAAAGACCCAGCACGUUACCUGCACAGGUUUAGCACCGCUCAGCUGCUGGUACUUCUGGCAACACCUAAACAGGCUGUAACAGAGUUUUGAAAAGCUUGCUCACUUACUAUGAGGAUGGCUACAAAGCAAGCCAGAGUGGUGUUCCAGUCUCCACUAGCUGUGGCAGCUGCUUUCCCGACGAGCACGCUGUAAAAAAUGAAGUCUCCGAGGCCCAGCUUCACACCCCCUGAGAGAAGUGGAACAAAGACAACAAUGUGUUACUUCUGCUCUUCUUGUUUUGCUUCCUCACGAACAAAUUCUCGUCCCCUGGGGAGCAGGUGAAGGUUACUGCUUAAAUUGUCUGCGUAGCCAAGAGAUGUCACUGACACUACAAUCCCAGAACAGAUACUGCAGCAGCAAGAAGUGAUACAGUCAGGCUUAGAUCUUUGCUGCUUAACAAGUCACUAUUCUUCCAAUUCACUGCAAUUAGGCCACAGAGGGUAACAGUGUUAACCACAAGUAAAAAUGCCAGGUGCCAACUGACUAUACGAAAAACAAGGUAUGAAGCUUCCCUUACUUUCCUCCUCCUCGAGCUCCUCGAAAGAAGUGAUGGGCCGGGUUGGGCCAGGACUCCUCGUCUCUGACCUCUGAGAGUCUGCAUGCAAAGGGCUCCUGUGGUUCUCUCUCCCAUCCUCAGCUUGGUUCCACAAGAAGAGCAGCCCCAAAAAAAGAAAUGCAAGAGUUAGCUAUAUUUAUAACUUGUUUUAAUGCAUGAAAUCCACACUUCUGUGAAGCUUCUCUGGAAUGGGUAAGCCCUUUGUUUCUGUAUUUCUUUCAUCAGGACCAGUUCAAGCAGAGACAUUUAGUGAGUUUGAGAAAAACACAUGUGCUAUUAUUUGAAACAGUUGGAAGGGUACGUGCUCAGGUAUUUCGUAACUGGUAGUAUGACAAAAAUGGAUGACUAAGAGGACUGCCAUUUAUGAGAAAAGUUCUGCCCUGAGUCACAUUAACAUCAGGCCUGGGUGUUCACACGUAGCAAAUGGACAUAUUUCGUCGUUCACAGAUUUAGGGAGGGGUUUUUUGUCCUUUAAAACACAUCUAAUAGAGACCUUGGUAGUACUUUUGGAUGCAGCCAGUCUGUGAUACAGUACUUUAUCUGAUAGUUCCUGUUUUUCAGAAGCACUCAAACUUUCCAGUUCAUGUCAGUCUGACGGGAUGCUGCCACUGCAGAUGCGAGCAGACACUGAUCUGGGGGAGACAAAGCUCCCUCAAUGGCAUUCUGUAUGCCUCAGCAUGUGCUUUGCUCCUGCUUUGUGUCCAUUUUCAAAGCAGGAUUGUGUCCCCCAUGGUUUGUUAGUAUGCCAGCUGCUUUAUCCUGAAAUAAGCGGCACGUUAAAUUGUAAGCCUUAGCAUACAUUUAUUGCCUUAACAUAAAAAGGUACUGUCAUCUCUGAAGUGCAACAGGAUCAGGUGGGAAAUCCUCCUGACACCACAAGUCGGAUUUUAUUCCAUCACCUUAGGAACUGCAGGUUAACUUGCAUUUCAAGAAGAUAAAAACAAAGGCAAAAAAAUUACCACAGGACCAACCAGAAUGUAAACUUGGAACACACCAGCCACCGUUGGGCAACUGCCCAAACAUAAGCCUUUACCCAAGAGUAAAUGUAAAGACACUGAUUUUCUUUGGCAGGGUAAGCCGUGCUGCACUUACAGCUCCGUAAAAGCAGGUCUGUUCCCUGGCAGUGGCCUGAAUGCCAUACACUGCAAUGCACUUCAGUUCACCAGCUCAUUGGCAGUGUCUUUAUGAGCCUGUGUUGUAAUUUACGAUCCCCAGCUACUAAAAAUGUAACCCCCCACUAGCCCACUCUCAGCUUUGACUUCGGUACAUCUGAAGAUGUGUGGUUUUUAGUUGGUUGCUUGGUUUUUUAAAUAAAGGCAGCCUGAAUACUGAA